rnacentral:rRNA from 1 species
GACGAACGCUGGCGGCGUGCUUAACACAUGCAAGUCGAACGAUGAAACCUAGCUUGCUAGGUCGAUUAGUGGCGAACGGGUGAGUAACACGUGACUAACCUGCCCCUUUCUCUGGGAUAACGCUCCGAAAGGAGUGCUAAUACCGGAUACUCACAUCGAGGCACAUGCCUUGGUGUGGAAGGUUUUUCGGAAAGGGAUGGAGUCGCGGCCUAUCAGCUUGUUGGUGAGGUAACGGCUCACCAAGGCGACGACGGGUAGCCGGCCUGAGAGGGCGAGCGGCCACACUGGGACUGAGACACGGCCCAGACUCCUACGGGAGGCAGCAGUGGGGAAUAUUGCACAAUGGGCGCAAGCCUGAUGCAGCGACGCCGCGUGAGGGAUGAAGGUCUUCGGAUUGUAAACCUCUUUCAGUAGGGACGAAGCGAAAGUGACGGUACCUAAAGAAGAAGCACCGGCUAACUACGUGCCAGCAGCCGCCGUAA